GACGAACGCUGGCGGCGUGCUUAACACAUGCAAGUCGAACGGAAAGGCCCUGCUUUUGUGGGGUGCUCGAGUGGCGAACGGGUGAGUAACACGUGAGUAACCUGCUCUUGACUUUGGGAUAACUUCAGGAAACUGGGGUUACUACCGGAUUGGAUCCCCUCCACCAGGGUGGGGGUUGGAUCUUUUCGCCGGUAGGGGUUGGAUUGGCGGCUUAUCAGCUUGUUGGUGGGGUGGUGGCUUACCAAGCCUUUGACGGGUACCUGGCCUGAGAGGGUGACCGGCCACAUUGGGACUAAGAUACGGACCAGUCUCCUACGGGAGGCAGCAGUGGGGAAUAUUGCACAAUGGGCGGAAGUCUGAUGCAGCAACCCCGCGUGCGUAAUGACGGCCUUCGGGUUGAAAACCGCUUUCGCCUGAGACGAAGCGUGUGUGACGGUAAUGAGUAAAGAAGCACCGGCUAACUACGUG
rnacentral:rRNA from 1 species